GACAAAACGUUUUAUUUACAUGCAAUAAAUAUAACAACGUGAACCUGGCAGGUCAUAUUUUAUAAAGAGCAAGGUGUCGUAGCGUGUGAUAUUUCGUAACUUUGGCAAAAAUUUAUCUUAUCGAGCAUCGGAUAAAAUAGGAAGCAAAACAGCAUCAAUUUUAGUUUGUGGUUUGGUUCGUUCGAAGAAAGACUAGAUUUAAGCCUUAGAGCACCACAACUCCUUACGCAGAACAUCGCAAUGGAUCACGCAAAGAUUUUGAACCGUUUGGAAUCUUACGAGGCCCAAAUUUCCAGCUCCCACGACACCAAGUCGGAUGUUUCUUACCACAUGAUGAAACAAUCGCUACAUAAUAUUUGGAGUUCCAUUUACUCAACAGAAAGCAGCGAUUCGAGGACCGCAAGCAUCAAGAAAGUGCAAGAAUGUUUGUCGACGUUGGAGCGAAAAGUAACUGAGAAUGAGCAGAAGAAGUACCAGCUUUACUAUGGCAAACCCCAGCAUGUAAUCCGGAGCGAAAGAUGCUGUUAGCUGGCCACAGCAAUCGUUUAUAAUAAGAAGAUGGAUGUUGAAUCUGUUCAUUAAUGUACAUAAAACUAUUCUGUGAUAUUCUGAUGUUAUUACUGUAUCUCAAACAUGGGAUGGCAUAUAAAAAUUUAAUAUCCAAACGUAGGUUUGCCAAGUAUUUUACAUGUAAAGGAAACGAAAUUUAAAUCCAGUAUUAAUGCUUAUGUUGAUUGCUGGAAGAAAAUGUAUUAUAAGACGGUGUUUUUAAUUCAAGAGAUGUAUCAGCACACACAUGUUUAAUAUGUACCUAAAUUAAGAUUUAAAUAUUGUAUUAAUUCAACACAGACCUAAUAGUGUUGAAUGUUGAACCGAUCUGCAAAAUUAUUGUGAUUAUGCCUUUAUAAGGCAUCUUUUUCAAUUAGACACUAAAAUUAAUAAAUUUGUCCUCAAGUUA
rnacentral:lncRNA from 1 species